UACGUAGGGUGCGAGCGUUGUCCGGAAUUACUGGGCGUAAAGAGCUCGUAGGUGGUUUGUCGCGUUGUUCGUGAAAUUCCCUGGCUUAACUGGGGGCGUGCGGGCGAUACGGGCAGACUGGAGUACUGCAGGGGAGACUGGAAUUCCUGGUGUAGCGGUGGAAUGCGCAGAUAUCAGGAGGAACACCGGUGGCGAAGGCGGGUCUCUGGGCAGUAACUGACGCUGAGACGCGAAAGCGUGGGGAGCAAACAGG
rnacentral:rRNA from 1 species